rnacentral:rRNA from 1 species
CUGGGUGUGUAAGCGUAGCGAUACGUUGAGCUAACCAGUACUAAUGAACCGUGAGGCUUAACCUGACAACACCGAAGGUGUUUUAG